CAGCCGCGUAAUUCCAGCUCCAAUAGCGUAUAUUAAAGUUGUUGCAGUUAAAAAGCUCGUAGUUGAAUUUCGGGGUUAGUAGGUUGGUCAUGCCUCUGGUAUGUACUGGUCUCACUGAUUCCUCCUUCCUGAUGAGCCGUAAUGCCAUUAAUUUGGUGUUGCGGGGAAUUUGGACUGUUACUUUGAAAAAAUUAGAGUGUUUAAAGCAAGCUAACGCUUGAAUACAUUAGCAUGGAAUAAUGAAAUAGGACGUUCGAUCCUAUUUUGUUGGUUUCUAGGAUUGACGUAAUGAUUAAUAGGGAUAGUUGGGGGCAUUAGUAUUGAAUUGUCAGAGGUGAAAUUCUUGGAUUUAUUGAAGACUAACUACUGCGAAAGCAUUUGCCAAGGAUGUUUUCAUUAAUCAAGAACGAAAGUUAGGGGAUCGAAGACGAUCAGAUACCGUCGUAGUCUUAACCAUAAACUAUGCCGACUAGGGAUCGGAUGAUGUUAAUUUUUUAAUGACUCAUUCGGCGCCUUACG
rnacentral:misc_RNA from 1 species